ACAUGCCUACGGGACGCAGCAGUCGAGAAUCAUUCACAAUGGGGGAAACCCUGAUCGUGCGACGCCGCGUGGGGGAAUGAAGGUCUUCGGAUUGUAAACCCCUGUCAUGUGGGAGCAAAUUAAAAAGAUAGUACCGCAAGAGGAAGAGACGGCUAACUCUGUGCCAGCAGCCGCGGUAAUACAGAGGUCUCAAGCGUUGUUCGGAAUCACUGGGUGUAAAGCGUGCGUAGGCUGUUUCGUAAGUCGUGUGUGAAAGGCGCGGGCUCAACCCGCGGACGGCACAUGAUACUGCGAGACUAGAGUAA
rnacentral:rRNA from 1 species